UACGUAGGGUCCAAGCGUUAUCCGGAAUCACUGGGCGUAAAGCGUGCGUAGGCGGAUGUUUAAGUGUGAUGUUAAAUCGUGGGGCUCAACCCUGUCGUUGCAUCGCAUACUGGGCAUCUAGAGGACGGCAGAGGCAAGUGGAACUCGUAGUGUAGCAGUGAAAUUCGUAGAUAUUAGGAAGAACACCAGUGGCGAAGGCGGCUCACUGGCCCGGUACUGACGCUGAGGCGCGAAAGCGUGGGGGAGCAAACAGG
rnacentral:rRNA from 1 species